UACAGAGGGUGCAAGCGUUGUUCGGAAUUAUUGGGCGUAAAGCGCGUGUAGGCGGCUUUGCAAGUCGGGUGUGAAAGCCCUCAGCUUAACUGAGGAAGUGCGCCCGAAACUGCAGAGCUUGAGUACCGGAGAGGAUGGUGGAAUUCCCGAAGUAGAGGUGAAAUUCGUAGAUAUCGGGAGGAACACCGGUGGCGAAGGCGACCAUCUGGACGGAUACUGACGCUGAGACGCGAAAGCGUGGGGAGCGAACAGG
rnacentral:rRNA from 1 species